GGGUCAGUAGGUUGGUCGUGCCACCGGUACGUACUGGUCUCACUGAUUCCUCCUUCCUGAAGAACCGUAAUGCCAUUAAUUUGGUGUUGCGGGGAAACAGGACUGUUACUUUGAAAAAUUUAGAGUGUUUAAAGCAAGCUAACGCUUGAAUACAUUAGCAUGGAAUAAUGAAAUAGGACGAUCGACCCUAUUUUGUUGGUUUCUAGGAUUGACGUA
rnacentral:rRNA from 1 species